rnacentral:rRNA from 1 species
GACGAACACUGGCGGCGUGCCUAAUACAUGCAAGUCGACCUUAGUGGCGAACGGGUGAGUAACACGUGGGUAACCUGCCCAUCAGAAGGGGAUAACACUUGGAAACAGGUGCUAAUACCGUAUACUGAUGGAUGGACCCACGGUGCAUUAGCUAGUUGGUGAGGUAACGGUUAACAAUGGCCACGAUGCAUAGCCUACCUGAGAGGGUGAUCGGCAAGAUUGGGACUGUGACACGGCACAAACUCAUACGGGAGGCAGCAGUAGGGAUGCGUCGGCAAUGGACGAAAGUCUGACCGAGCAACGCCGCGUGAGUGAAGAAGGUUUUCGGAUCGGAAAACUAUGUUGUUAGAGAAGCGGUAUCUAACCAGAAAGCCACGGCUAACGACGUGCCAGCAGCCGCGGUAAUAC